AGAGCGAACGCUGGCGGCAGGCCUAAUACAUGCAAGUCGAACGGAUCCUUCGGGAUUAGUGGCGGACGGGUGAGUAACACGUGGGAACGUGCCCUUUGGUUCGGAACAACUCAGGGAAACUUGAGCUAAUACCGAAUGUGCCCUUCGGGGGAAAGAUUUAUCGCCAUUGGAGCGGCCCGCGUCUGAUUAGCUAGUUGGUGGGGUAAAGGCCCACCAAGGCGACGAUCAGUAGCUGGUCUGAGAGGAUGAUCAGCCACACUGGGACUGAGACACGGCCCAGACUCCUACGGGAGGCAGCAGUAGGGAAUCUUGCGCAAUGGGCGAAAGCCUGACGCAGCCAUGCCGCGUGAAUGAUGAAGGUCUUAGGAUUGUAAAAUUCUUUCAGCGGGGACGAUAAUGACGGUACCCGCGAGAAGAAGCCCCGGCUAACUUCGCGCCAGCACGCCGC
rnacentral:rRNA from 1 species